rnacentral:lncRNA from 1 species
UAUAUUUCCAGUAGUUUUAUUAUUUUUGUAGAACUGAUUUGUACAAUUUUUAUGCUAACAAGACAUUUGAUAUUACCGAGCUCUAGUAUUGCAGAAUUAUUUUUGCUAUAUAUUAACAUAGUUGAGCUUGGUCAUAAUUGCUAUUCCUGCUAUGUUUGUAAGUAAAAACUUUAUGUCUCUAGUCUUUUUAAAAUCCUUUCUUCUCACUGUUUCUGUGAGAUGUCUUAUAAUUCGUUUAAUCAGACUCGGAAUAUGCAUAUCUACAAUCACUAUGUUAUGCUAUAUGUUUUUAGAAUCGCAGAAGAUUGGCAGCUUUAAUGGACAAACUACUUGUUUUGGUCUGAAAAGAGGUGCAUGGACGGGAACCUCUUUAUCCCUCAAACUUUCUAGCCUUGGGAUCAAAGAUUUGACACAACCACUUAGCAUUCUUAGGUAAUACCCUCCUCUAGAAUUCAAAGAAUCUUAUUACUAGUUUUAGUUCAUAUCACAUCAUCGUGCAAGUAUAUAUCCAAGAUCAAGCUUCUAAUUCAAUAGAUAACAAUGCCUGCAGAAUUUACAAUGGAUGGCAACUCUUUAAUUUAAGUGAAUCCAGUUUUUAUGCUUCUAUUAUGCAGGUAGAUCGAGCUUCCAACAUUUUCAUUUUUAUGUGAUGUUUACUUGUACAUAUCAG